rnacentral:rRNA from 1 species
CGGAGGGAUCAUUACCGAGUUUACAACUCCCAAACCCAAUGUGAACGUUACCAAACUGUUGCCUCGGCGGGAUCUCUGCCCCGGGUGCGUCGCAGCCCCGGACCAAGGCGCCCGCCGGAGGACCAACCAAAACUCUUUUGUAUACCCCCUCGCGGGUUUUUAUAUCUGAGCCAUCUCGGCGCCUCUCGUAGGCGUUUCGAAAAUGAAUCAAAACUUUCAACAACGGAUCUCUUGGUUCUGGCAUCGAUGAAGAACGCAGCGAAAUGCGAUAAGUAAUGUGAAUUGCAGAAUUCAGUGAAUCAUCGAAUCUUUGAACGCACAUUGCGCCCGCCAGUAUUCUGGCGGGCAUGCCUGUCCGAGCGUCAUUUCAACCCUCGAACCCCUCCGGGGGGUCGGCGUUGGGGAUCGGCCCUUUACGGGGCCGGCCCCGAAAUACAGUGGCGGUCUCGCCGCAGCCUCUCCUGCGCAGUAGUUUGCACACUCGCAUCGGGAGCGCGGCGCGUCCAUUGCCGUAAAACACCCAACUUUCUGAAAUGUUGACCUCGGAUCAGGUAGGAAUACCCGCUGAACUUAAGCAUA